CUUGGACCUUGGCUCGGGAGGUAAUUAUACGCUACAUCACCCGCAUCUUUGCAUACUGUACACCCGCUUUCACAUAUGAUAAUUGGGUACACCAUUCAUCUGUCAUGUCAUAUCGUGGAUGGACUACAUAUCAACAAGACAAUCUUUAAUGUUUUAGAUUUUUGGCCCACAGAUAGACGGUUGAGAAGCCUGAUAACCCAACGGUUCAUAUUUAAAUGGAAAGUAAACUAACAUUGGUUAAUGAAAUUUCCAAUAUCUGACAUUAUUUAAUACCCUUCCAUCCACGGUGGGAUAUAAGAGAUCAAUGGUCACGAUCAACAAUCCAUUGGGCCCAGUUUCUAAAAUUAAAAACACGUGUGUACUGUGCAGAGAUGCUGGCCCUGUAUUGUAUAGUUCCUGUUUUCUGCUCGGUCGGCCUUUUGUUUUCUACACUUGUUCUGUCUAUUUUCAACGAGAGAGAGAGAGAGAGAGAGAGAGAGAGAGUUUUCUUCAUUCCUUCUACAUUUCAGCUCUUUCUUUGAAUUUCCGAGCAUUUUGGCGCGAAAUUCGAACUAUGCAGCUAAGGCGACUUGAGUUCUCAAGUAGUUCACGGGGAUUCCCGCCGCAGGAUCUUCAGAAGACGUAUGCUCUCCGUUCCUGAGGAAAUGCUCGCUUUCUUUAAGAAUUCUCAGAUCCGUCGGACGUAGAUAUCUGAUUUCGGAAAUAAGAAGGUUUCAUUAGAGAUUCAAGCUCUUGCUCUGUUCUAGAGAAAAAUCCGAUCGAAAUCCGAGAUUUCACGCUUCGCUGGAAGCUUCUUCGACACGGAAGCUGCUACAGCUUCGAUUUCCCUACUGCAAGGAAUUUCUUGGCAGCGUCUCCGUGUCGAGAAUAAAGGAACGCGGAUUGCAUCCUUACUCCGCCCGUCUCCAGCUGGGAACGGGCAGGGGCUAUCAGUGACUACCGUGAUGUAUGUGUCCUAUCCACACCGUCCAUCUAUUUUUUCGUAUUAUUUUAGGAUAUAAUCCCAAAACUUAAGUAGAUCCAAGACAGAUGUGGAUUACACAAUGGGGAUUAAACUCUUACCGUUGAAAACUACUUGCGGGUCAAAGAAGUUCUGGUACACUUGAUCCUUGGAUCUGCCUCAUUUUUGGGCUAAUACCCUAAAAUGAUAGGAAAAAAAUGAAUGAACGGUGUGGAUAAUACCCAUACAUCACGGUGGCCACUCAAAGCUACUGCCCGUUCCCAGUUGGAGACGGGCUGGGGUAGGACGCAAUCCGCGAACAGAAUAAAGAGGGAUGAUCCGAUGCAGCGGCUGUACCAUGCGUCAUGAUACAGCUAUUUCUUUCCCUCCAACAUCUGUAGAGCACCAUGACUUUACUCGGUGUGAAGAUCAGCCCAACCAUUCAUCCAUUAGGACAUAGCAUCAAAAUCAACGGUAGCUAACGGUUGGACUCAUUGUCCUCAUGUGGCCCACUUUAUUAGUGAAUCGUCCUGAUUUUCAUGCGAAGUGAUGUUCAUAGUGUGGCCCGUCUUUUGGUCAUAUUGGAUAUUCUACAUACAUGAUAUGUUGACGGGAAAAGGUAGCUGUAUCAUAACUUAUGAUACAGCUGCUGUAUCGGACCCUUUAUCCGGGUAAAUCGAUUUCUUUCUGUUUCUCGGA